ACUGAUGAUUUGGUCGCCAACGAGUGGCGGACGGGUGAGUAACACGUAGGUAACCUGCCCAGAAGCGGGGGACAACAUUUGGAAACAGAUGCUAAUACCGCAUAACAACGUUGUUCGCAUGAACAACGCUUAAAAGAUGGCUUCUCGCUAUCACUUCUGGAUGGACUGCGGUGCAUUAGCUUGUUGGUGGGGUAAUGGCCUACCAAGGGCCGAUGAUGCAUAGCCGAGUUGAGAGACUGAUCGGCCACAAUGGGACUGAGACACGGCCCAUACUCCUACGGGAGGCAGCAGUAGGGAAUCUUCCACAAUGGGCGCAAGCCUGAUGGAGCAACACCGCGUGAGUGAAGAAGGGUUUCGGCUCGUAAAGCUCUGUUGUUAAAGAAGAACACGUAUGAGAGUAACUGUUCAUACGUUGACGGUAUUUAACCAGAAAGUCACGGCUAACUACGUGCCAGCAGCCGCGGUAAUACGUAGGUGGCAAGCGUUAUCCGGAUUUAUUGGGCGUAAAGAGAGUGCAGGCGGUUUUCUAAGUCUGAUGUGAAAGCCUUCGGCUUAACCGGAGAAGUGCAUCGGAAACUGGAUAACUUGAGUGCAGAAGAGGGUAGUGGAACUCCAUGUGUAGCGGUGGAAUGCGUAGAUAUAUGGAAGAACACCAGUGGCGAAGGCGGCUACCUGGUCUGCAACUGACGCUGAGACUCGAAAGCAUGGGUAGCGAACAGGAUUAGAUACCCUGGUAGUCCAUGCCGUAAACGAUGAGUGCUAGGUGUUGGAGGGUUUCCGCCCUUCAGUGCCGGAGCUAACGCAUUAAGCACUCCGCCUGGGGAGUACGACCGCAAGGUUGAAACUCAAAGGAAUUGACGGGGGCCCGCACAAGCGGUGGAGCAUGUGGUUUAAUUCGAAGCUACGCGAAGAACCUUACCAGGUCUUGACAUCUUGCGCCAACCCUAGAGAUAGGGCGUUUCCUUCGGGAACGCAAUGACAGGUGGUGCAUGGUCGUCG
rnacentral:rRNA from 2 species